GACGAACGCUGGCGGCGUGCUUAACACAUGCAAGUCGAACGGUGAAAGCGGAGCUUGCUCCGCUGGAUCAGUGGCGAACGGGUGAGUAACACGUGGGCAACCUGCCCCAGACUUCGGGAUAACUCCUCGAAAGAGGUGCUAAUAACGGAUGCGAAGCCCCCAGGCAUCUGGGGGCUUGGAAAGUUUGUCGGUCUGGGAUGGGGCGGCGGCCUAUCAGCUUGUUGGGGAGGUAACGGCUCACCAAGGCGGCGACGGGUCGCCGGCCUGAGAGGGCGCCCGGCCAAACUGGGACUGAGACACGGCCCAGACUCCCACGGGAGGCAGCAGUGGGGAAUAUUGCGCAAUGGGCGCAAGCCUGAUGCAGCAACGCCGCGUGAGGGAUGACGGCCUUCGGGUUGUAAACCUCUUUUAGCAGGGAAGAAGCGAAAGUGACGGUACCUGCAGAAAAAGCACCGGCUAACUACGUGCCAGCCGCCGCCGUAA
rnacentral:rRNA from 1 species